CUCAGGACGAACGCUGGCGGCGUGCUUAACACAUGCAAGUCGAACGGGAGUAUUGAAGAAGCUUGCUUUAGAGAUACUUUAGUGGCGGACGGGUGAGUAACGCGUGAGGAGCUGUCCUAUGCAGGGGGACAACAGCUGGAAACGGCUGCUAAUACCCCAUAAGCCGAGAGGUAAAAGGAUCAAUCCGGCAGAGGAGGUACUCGCGUCCUAUCAGCUAGUAGGUGAGGUAACGGCUCACCUAGGCGAAGACGGGUAGCCGGCCUGAGAGGGCGAACGGCCACACUGGAACUGAGAUACGGUCCAGACUCCUACGGGAGGCAGCAGGUGGGGAAUAUUGGGCAAUGGGGAAACCCUGACCCAGCGACGCCGCGUGGGUGAAGAAAUCCUUCGGGAUGUAAAGCCCUGUUGUAUGGGAAGAGCGGAAGACGGUACCAUACGAGGAAGCCCCGGCAAACUACGUGCCAGCCGCUGC
rnacentral:rRNA from 1 species